UGUGUGAGUAACUUGGCAUUCUUGUACGUUGAAAACGUGUUUUUUAUGAGAUAUAUAAAACUCCGCCCAUCGAACAUUCAGUUCAGCCAGUAAGUGAGGAAAUGCGGUCCAAAAGAGAAACUGAAACUUAACGGUCCUUUUAAUAACGGAGGAGAAAGAAUCCCCAGGAAAAAAGGAAUUAAAUUAAAUGUAAAACGGAGUAAACAGUCUGUUGUGGAGUGGAACUGAGCUGUUUGUUUAUAGGGUAAACGGACAUGGAACAACGCAGGCACACAUUAU